ensembl:snRNA U6 U6 spliceosomal RNA
GUGUUUGCUUCUGCAGCAUAUAUACUAAAAUUGGAAUGAUACAGAGAAGAUUAGCAUGGCCCCUCUGCAACAGUGACACGCAAACUUGCGAAGUAUUACGUAUUUUU